rnacentral:rRNA from 1 species
GACGAACGCUGGCGGCGUGCUUAACACAUGCAAGUCGAACGGAAAGGCCCUGCUUUUGUGGGGUGCUCGAGUGGCGAACGGGUGAGUAACACGUGAGUAACCUGCACUUGACUUUGGGAUAACUUCAGGAAACUGAGGCUAAUACCUGAUAUGCGAUCCUGCUCCAUGGUGGGGGUUGGAAAUUGUAGGCGGUUGGGUAUGGACUAGCGGCUUAUCAGCUUGUUGGUGGGGUAGUGUCUUGCCAAGGCUUUGACGGGUAGCCGGCCUGGUAGGGUGACCGGCCACAUUGGGACGGAGAUGCGGCCCAGACUCCUCCGGGAGGCAGCAGUGGGGAAGAUUGCACUAUGGGCUGAAGGCUGAUGCAGCAACGCCGCGUGCGGUAUGACGGGCUUCGGGUUGUAAACCGCUUUCGCCUGUGACGAAGCGUGAGUGACGGUAAUGGGUAAAGAAGCACCGGCUAACUACGUGCCAGCCGCCGCCGUAA